UACGUAGGGAGCAAGCGUUGUCCGGAUUUAUUGGGCGUAAAGAGCGUGUAGGCGGCCUGAUAGGUCAGCUGUGAAAACUCGAGGCUCAACCUCGAGACGUCGGUUGAAACCAUCUGGCUAGAGUCCGGAAGAGGAGUGUGGAAUUCCCGGUGUAGCGGUGAAAUGCGCAGAUAUCGGGAAGAACACCCGUGGCGAAGGCGGCACUCUGGGACGGUACUGACGCUGAGACGCGAAGGCGUGGGGAGCGAACAGG
rnacentral:rRNA from 1 species